rnacentral:rRNA from 1 species
CCUGAAUACUACCUGUUGACCGAUAGCGGAUCAGUACCGUGAGGGAAUGGUGAAAAGUACCCCGGGAGGGGAGUGAAAUAGUACCUGAAACCAUGUGCCUACAAACCGUUGGAGCCUCCUUGUGGGGUGACAGCGUGCCUUUUGAAGAAUGAGCCUGCGAGUUAGUGAUACGUGGCGAGGUUAACCCGUGUGGGGAAGCCGUAGCGAAAGCGAGUCUGAAUAGGGCGAUUGAGUCGCGUGUCCUAGACCCGAAGCGGAGUGAUCUACCCAUGGCCAGGUUGAAGCGCGUGUAAGAGCGCGUGGAGGACCGAACCCACUUCAGUUGAAAAUGGAGGGGAUGAGCC